GGGGAAUUGCUAACUAAAUCAAUGAAGACAACCAGGUGAGGGGAAUUCCUAACUAAAUCAAUGAAGACAACCAGGUGAGGGGAAUUCCUAACUAAAUCAAUAAAGACAACCAGGUGUGGGGAAUUCCUAACUAAAUCAAUAAAGACAACCAGGUGAGGGGAAUUCCUAACUAAAUCAAUGAAGACAACCAGGUGAGGGGAAUUCCUAACUAAAUCAAUGAAGACAACCAGGUGAAGGGAAUUCCUAA